rnacentral:rRNA from 1 species
CGGUGGAGCAUGUGGUUUAAUUCGUAAGCAGCGCGAAGAACCUUACCAGGUCUUGACAUCCCGAUGCUUAUUUCUAGAGAUAGAAAGUUACUUCGGUACAUCGGUGACAGGUGGUGCAUGGUUGUCGUCAGCUCGUGUCGUGAGAUGUUGGUUAAGUCCGCUAACGAGCGCAACCCUCGCUGUGUGUUACAAGUGUCACACGGAACUGCCGGUCAUAAACCGGAGGAAGGUGGGAUGACGUCAAGUCAGCAUGGCCUUUAUAUCCUGGGCUACACACACGCUACAAUGGGAAGGGACAAUAGGUUGCGAAGCCGCGAGGCGGAGCCAAUCCAGCAAAACUUCCCUCAGUUCAGAUUGCAGGCUGCAACCCGCCUGCAUGAAGUUGGAGUUGCUAGUAAACGCAGGUCAGCCAUACUGCGUUGAAUACGUUCCCGGGGCUU